GAAUAUUGUGGUAUUUAAUUCAUUUAAAUACAAUAUUAAUGAUUGAAAAAUGUUGUUAAAUGAUAUUAAUUAUCUGAAAAUUUUUGCAAGUUUAUGAAAAAUGUUUUGACUGAUACUAUGAUAUUGUUUAGUGUUUAGGCAGAGUUUAAUGGAACUUAAACUCGAUAAUUGUCCGAUUAGACCGUCGGGAUGAUUGAAUUGUGUCGGUUUCAACUCAGACUUAAAUAGUCUGAUUUGAUGCUAAGUCUUAUGUGUUGUAUAGACUGAUGGGAUUAUGUGAUAAUGUGUUUAGG
rnacentral:lncRNA from 1 species